AGAGUUUGAUCAUGGCUCAGAUUGAACGCUGGCGGCAGGCCUAACACAUGCAAGUCGAGCGGUAGCACAGAGAGCUUGCUCUCGGGUGACGAGCGGCGGACGGGUGAGUAAUGUCUGGGAAACUGCCUGAUGGAGGGGGAUAACUACUGGAAACGGUAGCUAAUACCGCAUAAUGUCGCAAGACCAAAGUGGGGGACCUUCGGGCCUCAUGCCAUCAGAUGUGCCCAGAUGGGAUUAGCUAGUAGGUGGGGUAACGGCUCACCUAGGCGACGAUCCCUAGCUGGUCUGAGAGGAUGACCAGCCACACUGGAACUGAGACACGGUCCAGACUCCUACGGGAGGCAGCAGUGGGGAAUAUUGCACAAUGGGCGCAAGCCUGAUGCAGCCAUGCCGCGUGUGUGAAGAAGGCCUUCGGGUUGUAAAGCACUUUCAGCGGGGAGGAAGGCGGUGAGGUUAAUAACCUCAUCGAUUGACGUUACCCGCAGAAGAAGCACCGGCUAACUCCGUGCCAGCAGCCGCGGUAAUACGGAGGGUGCAAGCGUUAAUCGGAAUUACUGGGCGUAAAGCGCACGCAGGCGGUCUGUCAAGUCGGAUGUGAAAUCCCCGGGCUCAACCUGGGAACUGCAUUCGAAACUGGCAGGCUAGAGUCUUGUAGAGGGGGGUAGAAUUCCAGGUGUAGCGGUGAAAUGCGUAGAGAUCUGGAGGAAUACCGGUGGCGAAGGCGGCCCCCUGGACAAAGACUGACGCUCAGGUGCGAAAGCGUGGGGAGCAAACAGGAUUAGAUACCCUGGUAGUCCACGCCGUAAACGAUGUCGACUUGGAGGUUGUGCCCUUGAGGCGUGGCUUCCGGAGCUAACGCGUUAAGUCGACCGCCUGGGGAGUACGGCCGCAAGGUUAAAACUCAAAUGAAUUGACGGGGGCCCGCACAAGCGGUGGAGCAUGUGGUUUAAUUCGAUGCAACGCGAAGAACCUUACCUACUCUUGACAUCCAGAGAACUUAGCAGAGAUGCUUUGGUGCCUUCGGGAACUCUGAGACAGGUGCUGCAUGGCUGUCGUCAGCUCGUGUUGUGAAAUGUUGGGUUAAGUCCCGCAACGAGCGCAACCCUUAUCCUUUGUUGCCAGCGGUUAGGCCGGGAACUCAAAGGAGACUGCCAGUGAUAAACUGGAGGAAGGUGGGGAUGACGUCAAGUCAUCAUGGCCCUUACGACCAGGGCUACACACGUGCUACAAUGGCAUAUACAAAGAGAAGCGACCUCGCGAGAGCAAGCGGACCUCAUAAAGUAUGUCGUAGUCCGGAUUGGAGUCUGCAACUCGACUCCAUGAAGUCGGAAUCGCUAGUAAUCGUAGAUCAGAAUGCUACGGUGAAUACGUUCCCGGGCCUUGUACACACCGCCCGUCACACCAUGGGAGUGGGUUGCAAAAGAAGUAGGUAGCUUAACCUUCGGGAGGGCGCUUACCACUUUGUGAUUCAUGACUGGGGUGAAGUCGUAACAAGGUAACCGUAGGGGAACCUGCGGUUG
rnacentral:rRNA from 1 species